rnacentral:rRNA from 1 species
AUUGAACGCUGGCGGCAGGCCUAACACAUGCAAGUCGAGCGGAUGAAGGGAGCUUGCUCCUGGAUUCAGCGGCGGACGGGUGAGUAAUGCCUAGGAAUCUGCCUGGUAGUGGGGGAUAACGUCCGGAAACGGGCGCUAAUACCGCAUACGUCCUGAGGGAGAAAGUGGGGGAUCUUCGGACCUCACGCUAUCAGAUGAGCCUAGGUCGGAUUAGCUAGUUGGUGGGGUAAAGGCCUACCAAGGCGACGAUCCGUAACUGGUCUGAGAGGAUGAUCAGCCACACUGGAACUGAGACACGGUCCAGACUCCUACGGGAGGCAGCAGUGGGGAAUAUUGGACAAUGGGCGAAAGCCUGAUCCAGCCAUGCCGCGUGUGUGAAGAAGGUCUUCGGAUUGUAAAGCACUUUAAGUGGGGAAGAAGAGCAGUAAGUUAAUACCUCGCUGUUUUGACGUUACCCACAGAAUAAGCACCGGCUAACUUCGUG